UACGGAGGGUGCGAGCGUUGUCCGGAAUCACUGGGCGUAAAGGGCGCGUAGGUGGCGCGACAAGUCAACGGUGAAAGCUCGGCGCUCAACGCCGAGUCGGCCGUCGAUACUGUUGGGCUUGAGCACUGUAGAGGCUAAUGGAAUUCCGGGUGUAGCGGUGGAAUGCGCAGAUAUCAGGAGGAACACCGGUGGCGAAGGCGGGUCUCUGGGCAGUAACUGACGCUGAGGAGCGAAAGCGUGGGGAGCGAACAGG
rnacentral:rRNA from 1 species